AAUGGUAUUUAAGGUCCCUUCCAAUCCAAACCAUUCUAUGAUUCUAGGAAUAUUAUUUUAAAAAGCACUUGACAUGCUGAAAAGGUUAUUUUCCUUUGCUGCUCUUGAAGGCCCAGAAGGUAAAACAAUUCUCAUUCAUUCUUUCCCCACCCCAUUUUUUUUUUUUAAUUGUAUUGUUUUUUUCAGUAAUAUUAUGGGCUCUAUUCCUGAGAGCAAAGCAAAAAAUGAAACUGUUCAGUAACAGGUGUAAUGCAGAUGGAACCUACUUUGGGAAAAGAAAAAUGAUCCUGUAUUUCACAGCUAAGCAUAAAUUUUCUGCUUUUUCAGUACCAUGCCAAGUCUUUACUCUUUGAAGAUGUCAUUAAAACCACCUCAAAGUACCUUUGCCUCACACAACGUUAUUUUUGGGAAUUGUUUAAAGUUUGGAAAUGCAGGUGAAUCUGAAUGACACACAAGCAAAAUCUGACUGCAUUUAUAUGACAGGUGAAGUCAAAAGAAGAAAACAGUUUUGUUACUUGUGCAGAAGACCAUUCAAAAGAAGCCUUCAACACUGCUAGAAAUACUCAUGGCUUCAUUCUGAUCACAUCUACGUAACUUAAUACUUCUGUAGCUGGUCUUUGCAGCACCUUCUCCGUACAUUAAUGGGCAGAUGGUUCCCUGGUUCUUUUCCUGUGGUCACCAAUGCAACUGAGGGACCCAUCUGAGUGACAGCUAAGGUUAACUGUCUGGACAGCUGUGAGUCAAGCCUUCAAGACACGCUGCUUUAUCUGAUUGGUCUCAGUCUUGAUCUGGCACAUGAAAGGAAAUGUGAGGAAGUUUCAAGCAGAGAUCAUUUUGCAAGUCCAAAGAUGAGGGUCUUUGCUUCAUUUCUAGAGGAAAUCCAUGCAGGAAAAAUCCACCAAGGGAUAUUUAACAAAAAGAUAACAUCUGACUUGAAGUCCCUGAACCAGAAAUUGCUGGAAGCUGGGAAAGGACACCUGGGAAAGUAUCACUUAGUCUCCUGUUACAAUCCUCUACAUUUAUCUUCUAUCACACAGGGAGCUGAAGGCUUGAUCUGAAGUCCACAGAAGUAAAGGGAUAAACCCUUAUCAGCUCUGGCGCAGCCUUUAAUGCAGCAAGUUCUUUGGCCAGUGGAGUCACUUAGGCUGAAAGAGGCAUACUAUUGUAAGAUCUACAAGGGGCAAACACUAAUUAAGGAUAAUCUUGUAUAAAAUGUUACAAAUGUUACCUUUUUGGACAUACUCGAUAUGGGAAACACUGGCACAAGAUUCUCAGACCCACUGUGAUUUCUGAGUUUCCUACUUCACAAUUAAUUGAAAUGGAGCAUGGAUUUGUAUUCUCUGAAUGGGAACAGCACUUCUUCAGCACUUACUUUAAGAUAGACAACAUGCAGCAUGAAUUCCUAAUAAAACUGACAUCAGCUCAAUGUAGUAAUAUACUGAACAGAAAGUUCAAGGAAAAGUCCUUUAUUUUUCCUCCUCCAGCACAAACCCACUGUAUUACUGUACUAUGCAAGCUGUUUGCUUUCUACUGCUUGGGAGUUUAGGCUGUUUGGAGGGUUUGCGAGUGAAUCUUAUUCCACAGAAGUUUUUUGUAGCCAUGUUAUACUACUAUCAAAAAGAUUUGAAUCAACUAAGGAGGUAAAUGAGAAUGAAUGAUUGAGAAUGAAUUAAA